rnacentral:rRNA from 1 species
GACGAACGCUGGCGGCGUGCUUAACACAUGCAAGUCGUACGGAAAGGCCCAGCUUGCUGGGUGCUCGAGUGGCGAACGGGUGAGUAACACGUGGGUGAUCUGCCCUGCACUUUGGGAUAAGCCUGGGAAACUGGGUCUAAUACCGGAUAGGACUACGGCCUGCAUGGGUUGUGGUGGAAAGUCCUUUGGGAUGGUGUGGGAUGGGCCCGCGGCCUAUCAGCUUGUUGGUGGGGUGAUGGCCUACCAAGGCUGCGACGGGUAGCCGGCCUGAGAGGGU